rnacentral:rRNA from 1 species
GACGAACGCUGGCGGCGUGCUUAACACAUGCAAGUCGAACGGAAAGGCCCUGCUUUUGUGGGGUGCUCGAGUGGCGAACGUGUGAGUAACACGUGAGUAACCUGCCCUUGACUUUGGUAUAACUUCAGGAAACUGGGGCUAAUACCGGAUAGGAGCUCCUGCUGCAUGGUGGGGGUUGGAAAGUUUCGGCGGUUGGGGAUGGACUCGCGGCUUAUCAGCUUGUUGGUGGGGUAGUGGCUUACCAAGGCUUUGACGGGUAGCCGGCCUGAGAGGGUGACCGGCCACAUUGGGACUGAGAUACGGCCCAGACUCCUACGGGAGGAAGCAGGGGGGAAUAUUGCACAAUGGGCGGAAGCCUGAUGCAGCAACGCCGCGUGCGGGAUGACGGCCUUCGGGUUGUAAACCGCUUUCGCCUGUGACGAAGCGUGAGUGACGGUAAUGGGUAAAGAAGCACCGGCUAACUACGUG